rnacentral:rRNA from 1 species
CCUACGGGAGGCAGCAGUGAGGAAUAUUGGUCAAUGGACGAGAGUCUGAACCAGCCAUGUAGCGUGCAGGAUGACUGCCCUAUGGGUUGUAAACUUCUUUUAUAAGGGAAUAAAACGAGGCACGCGUGCCUUUUUGCAUGUACUUUAUGAAUAAGGAUCGGCUAACUCCGUGCCAGCAGCCGCGGUAAUACGGAGGAUCCGAGCGUUAUCCGGAUUUAUUGGGUUUAAAGGGAGCGUAGAUGGGUUGUUAAGUCAGUUGUGAAAGGUUGCGGCUCAACCGUAAAAUUGCAAUUGAUACUGGCAGGCUUGAGUACAGUAGAGGUAGGCGGAAUUCGUGGUGUAGCGGUGAAAUGCGUAGAUAUUACGAAGAACUCCGAUGGCGAAGGCAGCUUACUAAACUGUAACUGACAUUGAGGCUCGAAAGUGUGGGGAGCAAACAGGAUUAGAUACCCCGGUAGUC